GGGAAUCUGGAGGGCCUAUCAGCAGGCAAAGUGUGAAAAAAAAAAGACUCAGUCAUGUUUUUGUGGGCUGCCUCAGUCAGAAUACAGGAGAUAAAUCACUCAAUUUCAGAUUUUCACCUUUUUUGACAUCAUUUCAGGGGGCUCAUUAGCAUAUUCCACCCUUUCACCUGCAUGUUGCCACCCACCUCAGCUUACUCAGCCUUGUCUAGCUGUGCUCUGCCAUUGUCCCCAGGAGCGAGAGAGUGACUCAUUAAGAACCUCGGUGAGUACAGUAAGGGCCUGGCCAAAAGACUGCUGCUGAUAGAGGGGGCAGUACCAACUUUCCGUUGCAAGACGACAGACGAAGAAACUGCAAGCACAUCUGGACUGCUGGAUAGGGUACAUCAUGUGGCACCAACAACACGCACAAUUGGAACUCAGCUUUCAAUGAAGACUCUCCAACCUCAUUUCAAAAGUACAGGCACACAGAAAACUGUUUCCUGCACUGAUGUUGGUGUUGGCACCUCAGCUCUUCUGCCGUUUCUUACAUCAACACCAAUAAAGAGACCAAGUAAGAGACGUCGCUUGGAACUGGAGGAGGAAGUGGAGGAAGAGGAAGAGGAAGAGGAAAAGGAGAACCCUUUAGAAGGCAGUUCUGUUGACAUCGAGGAGCCACGUGAUUCAACUUAUGACCCUGCAGACUCUGCCACAACCUUGACCGAGUCAGCAGAUGUGACGUGAGUUACCUAAACAUUUUACUAAUCAUUUGUGUUACAUUCUCUACUUAUUGUAGCUCUACUAGGACGAUCUUUGACUCAUUUUCUGUCAAUGUUUUGUUUUUAUUGCAGAAUGGAAUCCACCCCUGUCCAUAAGACUCCAACUUACAUUGUGUAUGAGAACUGCCUAAUGGAGCUGUUUCCCUGUUUCCCGCUGCCCUGUGUGUCAGCGGGAAUGUGAAAUGCAGAAAAGAAGAUUGGGCACGUUCCUCUCUGUAGAACAACGGUGUCCGCAUUGUGAGUUCUACAGAAGGUGGAACAGCCAGCCUCUUGUUGGAGNAGUCUGCUGGGAACCUGCAGCUGUCCACUGCAGUGUACGCCACUGGUGCCUCUUUCUUUAAGCUUGAAAAGAUAUUAUAUUUAGAAUUAACUAUGAAUAAAGUAAUGGAAUAUAGCAUACGAUGUAGCUAAAUUUAAAUACAUACUGUGAAUUUCUUUUAGAAAACAAGUGGUAUUUCUGAAAAAGUGAUUAACGUGUGGGUGCCUGUCCUGUUUGUUUCUUACUCCCACAGAUCUUCCGGGCAAUGCAGUUGAAGAUGUUUCAAUAUGACUCAUUUCGAAGGCAUGCUCGGAUGUACAUAGAGCCCGCGAUUGUACACAGGUGGAAGACGUCACAGACUGCAAUGUUGGAGCAGCUCAGUCAGCAGCAGAAUGUCGUCCUUGGUGGGGACUUGAGAGCAGACUCACCAGGUAUGUAAUACUCUGUUACUUGUCAAAAAAAUAUUUUUUUUAUUAUAUAUAAACAAGUUCACUUGAAGAGAAAUAAAACACACAAUGAUAAAUACAAUGCAAUUUCUUAUAUUAAAAAUAAUCACUUUACUUUUGAAGGACAUUGUGCCAAGUUUGGCAACUACACAAUGAUGGACCCGAGGAGCAACACUGUUAUUGAUUUACAGCUGGUUCAAGUGAGUGACAACAUAUCUCUAAUGUCUUUUGUAAUCUGUUACAGUUUAGCUCUAAUCAGCUGAAAUAAUACAUUUUUAUCUCCUUUCUUAAAUAAAAGAGUAAUGAGGUUGGUGGAAGCUACCACAUGGAAAAAGAAGUCCUGAAGAUGAGCCUUGCACUGUUGGAGGAACGGGGUGUGACUAUGGAUUGUAUUGUGACAGACAGUCACCCCCAAAUCCAGAAGUUCCUGAGGGAGGCCAACAUUACGCAUUACUACGAUGUGUGGCACAUGGAAAAAGGUAUUAUUCUGUGUCUUAUUUUUCCACAAGAGGGAAAAAAAGUUUAUUUAUGAUCACUGUACUUCCUUUAUUGUUUGUCCACACUAACAUAAUUAUUGAUGUGUUCCUGCCUAUUAUUAAUUCAAUUUAAACUG
rnacentral:lncRNA from 15 species